AAAACACCCUGGGAGAGGCAACUUCAAGAAGCUGGCAUUGCUCAAUAGGCAUGGCUUAUUUCUGCUUCUCAUGGCAACAGAUGCAAUGACGAGAUUAGAAUUGGAGGAUUUGUUUCCAAGGUGGCUCAGUCAUCCUGGCUGAGACAGGGGCCUC